rnacentral:sRNA from 1 species
UGACUCUAAUGGAAAACACAGUGAGAUC